UGCAUCUGCCGGGAAUCGAACCCGAGGCGCCCGCGUGGCAGGCGAGCAAUCUACCACUGAACCAAAAGC
rnacentral:tRNA from 1 species